rnacentral:misc_RNA from 1 species
CAACUUGUAUGAGAAAUUUAAAACUAUUUUCAUCAAACAAAGGUGCAGCUUCUAGUACAUUUAAUCCAUCAGAGAGUUUUGCAUAUCCAAAUGCAAGUCAAAAAUCUGCAGAUACAAUAUAUGAGGGUGCAAGUUCUAGUACAUUAAUUCCAUCGGAGAGUUUCGCGAGUCAAAAUGAACGUCAAAAGUCAACAGAUACAAGUUAUGGUACAGUUUUCAAUACAUUUACUCCUUUGGAUUGUUUUGAAAGUCAAAAUGAAGGUCAAAAUUCUACAGAUAUUAGAUAUGGUGCAAGUUUCAGUAAAUUUACUCCAUCGGAGAGUUUUGCAAAGCAAAAUAAAGUUCAAAAAUAUGCAGAGAAAAGAUAUGGUGCAGGUUCCAGCACAUUUACUCCUUCGGAGUGUUUUGCAAGUCAAAAUGAACGUCAAAAAUCUACAGAUAUUAGAUAUGGUGCAAGUUCCAGUAAAUUUAUUUCAUCAGAGAGUUUGGCAAAGCAAAACAAAAGUCAAAAAUCUUCAAAUAUAGGACAUGGUGCAAGUUCUAAUACAUUUAUUUCAUCGGAGAGUUUUGCAAGUCAAAAUAAUCGUCAAAAGUCUACAGAUACAAGAUGUGGUAGUUAUGCUGAUAUACUUACGUUUUUUUAAGAAUUUGAAUGUUUUGGUUUAAUUUAUUUUUUUAAUUUAUACAAAUAAAAUUUCCAUCGAUACACUUUUAUUAGAAAAUGUUAAACUAUUUUUUAUCUAAUGAGGGUGUAAGUUCAAGAACAUUUACUCCUUUGGAGUGUUUUGCAAGUCAAAAUGAAGGUGCAAAUUCCAGUACACUUACUACUUCGGAGUGUUUUACGUACAAACAAGAAGCAGAGGUACAAACAAGAAAGAAGGAAAAUUUACCAACCUGAAAUUGUGCCAG